CCUACGGGUGGCAGCAGUGGGGGAUAUUGCACAAUGGGGGAAACCCUGAUGCAGCGACGCCGCGUGGGUGAAGAAGUAUUUCGGUAUGUAAAGCCCUAUCAGCAGGGAAGAAAGCCGACGGUACCUGACUAAGACGCCCCGGCUAACUACGUGCCAGCAGCCUCGGUAAUACGUAGGGGGCGAGCGUUAUCCGGAUUCACUGGGUGUAAAGGGAGCGUAGACGGCCGUGCAAGCCAGGAGUGAAAGCCCGGGGCCCAACCCCGGGACUGCUCUUGGAACUGUGCGGCUGGAGUGCGGGAGGGGCAGGCGGAAUUCCUGGUGUAGCGGGGAAAUGCGUAGAUAUCAGGAGGAACACCGGCGGCGAAGGCGGCCUGCUGGACCGCGACUGACGUUGAGGCUCGAAAGCGUGGGGAGCGAACAGGAUUAGAUACCCCAGUAGUC
rnacentral:rRNA from 1 species